GAUGAACGCUGGCGGCGUGCCUAAUACAUGCAAGUCGAGCGAACGGACGAGAAUCUUGCUUCUCUGAUGUUAGCGGCGGACGGGUGAGUAACACGUGGAUAACCUACCUAUCAGACUGGGAUAACUUCGGGAAACCGGAGCUACUACCGGAUAAUAUUUUGAACCGCAUGGUUCAAAAGUGAAAGACGGUCUUGCUGUCACUUAUAGAUGGAUCUGCGCUGCAUUAGCUAGUUGGUAAGGUAACGGCUUACCAAGGCAACGAUGCAUAGCCGACCUGAGAGGGUGAUCGGCCACACUGGAACUGAGACACGGUCCAGACUCCUACGGGAGGCAGCAGUAGGGAAUCUUCCGCAAUGGGCGAAAGCCUGACGGAGAAACGCCGAGUGAGUGAUGAAGGUCUUCGGAUCGUAAAACUCUGUUAUUAGGGAAGAACAUAUGUGUAAGUAACUGUGCACAUCUUGACGGUACCUAAUCAGAAAGCCACGGCUAACUACGUG
rnacentral:rRNA from 1 species